GGGUGGUUUGAAGAGGAAAGCGCUCCGGUUCCUCUUUCCGGGAGGAUCGCCGGCAAAUCUCCUCCCCCUUCCGGUCGCCUCUUCACCGCCGCCGGACGCCACAGUUUCCGACCGCCGGUGACGUCUUUCGGAACCGUUCGAUUCUGUGAAUAGUUUAUAUCAAGACCAAAUCACCACGGAGACCGAGCUCUAGCCGCCGUGAAGAGUCCAGCCCACUCGCAUCCUUUGUCAAAACGUCGUCCAUUCCGUGCCGUUCCCGAACCUGGUAGGUCCACGCUUUCAUUUUGCUCUGUUUUGGACCCCUUCCCCCGCCUCUCGGGAGCCAGACACACCGAAACUGUUCGGUGCUUGUCUAGCUCCGCCCAUGGAGGAUAACGUUCGUUUGACACUCAAAGAAGCUACUUUUAAAUGUUUCACACCGAGAAUAGGUCAUGAGUUUUGUCAAAAUCAAACCCGUCUCUUCAUUUUUCGGCCGCACCUCACAUGUUUGACAAAAUGUCUCAACGAAACUGUUUAAAGCUUAAAACGUCGAAUCUGGUCGUGUAGUUAUUUAGCAUUUCUUUGCAAACUGAGAUGAACUUGUGAUGAGACAUGGCCGUUUAGAUCCUUACAGUUCAUGUUUGAGCCGAAAAUCGCGGCAAAUCUCAAUCUUAAGCCCCUGUUUGAACUUGCGCGCCAUCUGUUUGAUAAAAUGUCUGAGUGAAGGCCGAAACUGAAAAAACACGAAAUCAAUCUAUAGAAUCUUCGAUUUAUGUUUUGUUCGUUUUGAGAUUGAUUUUUGGUCAUUGACUCCUUGAUUUCGUGUGAUUUUGUGGCAUGUUAACUCCGGUACGAGUCGGCCAUGUGUGCACUCCCCACCCGUCGGAAAGCUUUUCAUCGCCGGAUUGAUGCCCGCGGAUAGAAGUCGUCGUAAGCUUUGGGGUUAUUGCUUGAGCUUGAGUGGGGUUUAAAGAGUUGUAAGAGGAUGGCAAUGGAUCUUUCAUUGGGUUUCUCAUCAUCUAAAAGGUUGCUCCUUAAUCGACCAAAAAAAAGGUUGUUCCUUUGCUAAUUCUCUCUUAAAGCUUGCUUGGAGUGGAUCUAUCUACUACAUUUGGCUAGAAAGGAAUGCAGAGUUGCAUAAUAAGAUUGCUUCCUAUCGAGAAAACCUCCAAGGGUUUUGAUACUGACAAAAUUAUCCCUUAUGAUGUGAUCGAUGCAAAUGUUGUUUCUACUAAGGUGACAUCAAUUGAUAAUCCGAUAUCAUUAAAUCUAUUCUAAGUGUUAAGUGAAAGGGCUCAAAAGACUCGAUGGACUUUAAGGGUGAACAAGUCAAGAGAACUAAAAAUUCAUGAGGACUUGGAGGAACUAAUAGGUGAACAGGUCUGUGGAAGAAUCAUGGAAGGUUGAUCGAAGCUUUCGCUCAUAUCAAGCUGAGAACAUCAUUAUUGCUAUCUAUAACGGCUAAAUUGAGUAUCUAAAAAAUCAUUCAAUGGUCAACUUGAAAAUUGACAACUAUGAAAGGGAUUAAUGCAAGCCAAAGUGGAUAUAAGAUGAGUUG